rnacentral:SRP_RNA from 1 species
GCCGACCCCUCGUGCGGCGUCAUCUCGCUGAAUCCCCCCAGGGCCGGAAGGCAGCAAGGGUAAGUGGGCUCUGGCGGGUGCGCGGGGGGUCCCUUUU